GAUGAACGCUGGCGGCGUGCUUAACACAUGCAAGUCGAACGAAGCAUUUGCGACAGAUUUUUUCGGAAUGAAGUUGCUUAUGACUGAGUGGCGGACGGGUGAGUAACGCGUGGGUAACCUGCCUUGUACUGGGGGAUAGCAGCUGGAAACGGCUGGUAAUACCGCAUAAGCGCACAAUGUUGCAUGACAUGGUGUGAAAAACUCCGGUGGUAUAAGAUGGACCCGCGUCUGAUUAGCUAGUUGGUGAGAUAACAGCCCACCAAGGCGACGAUCAGUAGCCGACCUGAGAGGGUGACCGGCCACAUUGGGACUGGGACACGGCCCAGACUCCUACGGGAGGCAGCAGUGGGGAAUAUUGCACAAUGGAGGAAACUCUGAUGCAGCGACGCCGCGUGAGUGAAGAAGUAAUUCGUUAUGUAAAGCUCUAUCAGCAGGGAAGAUAGUGACGGUACCUGACUAAGAAGCGCCGGCUAAAUACGUG
rnacentral:rRNA from 1 species